rnacentral:misc_RNA from 1 species
GGUAAUAGAUGAUGCCUCAAAAUCAAACAACACAGGAUUGUGAUUUUUCAACCAACCCACUCCUAAAAUCAUAUCAAAUCCAACCAGCUCUAGAAUCUUUAAGUCAAAAUUAAAUUCAUGUGACUGCAUUUUCCACUUAAACUGUUGACAUCACACCCCAAUUUUCUUCCAUCAGCUACUGCAAUAGCAAUAUAAGGUGCCUGCAUCAACUCCAAUUUUAACUCUUGAGCCACUUUCUUAUCCA